AUUGAACGCUGGCGGCAGGCCUAACACAUGCAAGUAGAACGAGUGGCGGACGGGUGAGUAAUGUCUGGGAAACUGCCUGAUGGCGGGGGAUAACUACUGGAAACGGUAGCUAAUACCGCAUACCAUCAGAUGUGCCCAGAUGGGAUGAGCUUGUUGGUGGGGUAACGGCUCACCAAGGCGACGAUCACUAGCUGGUCGGAGCGGAUGACCAGACACACUGGAACUGAGACACGGUCCAGACUCCUACGUGAGGCAGCAGUGGGAAAUAUUGCACAAUGGGCGCAAGCCUGAUGCAGCCAUGCCGCGUUGAUGAAGAAGGCCUUCGGGUUGUAAAGUACUUUCAGCGGGGAGGCGUUACCCGCAUAAGAAGCACCGGCUAACUCCGUGCCAGCAGCCGCGGUAAUUC
rnacentral:rRNA from 1 species